GGAAUUUUCGGCAAUGGGCGCAAGCCUGACCGAGCAACGCCGCGUGGAGGACGACGGCCUUCGGGUUGUAAACUCCUUUUGCGGGGGAUGAUCGUGACCGUACCCCGCGAAUAAGGCUCGGCUAACUCUGUGCCAGCAGCCGCGGUAAGACAGAGGAGCCAAGCGUUGUCCGGAUUGACUGGGCGUAAAGCGCACGCAGGCGGUCGUGCACGUGGGGUGUGAAACCUGGCCGCUUAACGGCCAGACGCCA
rnacentral:rRNA from 1 species